GCAGGAGAGGCAGAGAAAGCAGCAAUAACUCCACAUAUGACUUGGAAAUUGGCUCAGUCUCAUGGCAGGAGAUGUGUGUUUUUAUGGUGUUAAGUGUGAAGGAGUGAAAGCAGCCAGUGAUCAGGAGCGCCAACGCAGCUCCUUCCCAGGAGCCUUCCCGGCUGCUUCCCCUUUGUGGGAGAUGUGCUGGAAGGAGUACUAAGAGGAGAGAUACUUUGCUUUAGUAGGAUGGCAGCUUUGGGAAAGAUACGUGAGAGUGAGUGUGCAGAGAGCUUGGGCUGAGCGCAAGAGAUAAGUGGGAUGCAUCGUGUCUUAGAGGCAAUCAAGCAAGAGAGGAUGGGGUGGCAGGCGCUUCAACUCUCUAGCCCCUCCUUCCAGGGCAGAGCCAUUUUAGAGACCCACGCCUUUUCCCAUCCAUAGGCUGCUGAAGCCAGAAACAGCCCAGCACUUAAGAGGGGAGCAGACAAUUACAUCACCGGUCUGGGCAGUAUCUUCUCAGCCUAAACCAUUAUUUCCUCCCUUCUUUAAACAAAGACUCCUAGUUUCCCCACCCAAUAUCCAGUCUCCAUUUUCUUCCUAACUGAAUGUUGACUUCUUCCCCCUGGGGAACAAGAUAUCAAGGAAAAUGAUGCACCUUGUUUGCCUCCCUUGCAAGUGGGCCUGGCUCAUCCAUCAGAGGUAAAAUCUGAUUGAACAACAGUGGCUGCCUUCAUCAAGGGAGCCUGGAGAGCAAACAGCAGAAAAACAGUCAUCUGGCAACAUGUUGCAGGAAAAAGACAUUACAAAAGAAUAACAAGCUUGAGGCUUUCUAUGUGCUCCUGCAUCCCUCUAGCUACCUUCUGUGAAACUGAACCUGGCCCAGUCUUAAGAGCAAAGACUUGAACCCUGGAACCACUUGAGGAGCCAGAACGAGGGAUCCCCAUAUCCUUCUUAGACCUUGUUUAUUCUCUCCAUGACACCUAUUCAUUCACAUAUUGUGGGAUUUCCCCAUUGUCUCUUUCUCAUUUAAAAGUCACGUAUAACAUGAAUCAAAAUAAGAAAACAGGGACAGUCAAUAACAAAGUGUGUGGUGAACAAGGGACAUAAGAGAGCACUCUGGUUCUCCAGGCUAUCCGACUGGCCAUACUGCUUCAGUCCUAUCUUGUACCCACUGCAGUGAGUAAAUUGGAUUGCUGAGCGAGAAAAAAAAAAUGACAUAUUUUCCUUGUAGUGGAAGAACCUAAAAGGCUCUUUUCCGAUUUUCAGAUUCAGGUCACACAGUCCAAAACUCUUCUUAUCUGCUUUCAGUAUAUAUAUAUUUAACAUCUUAUGAUGAGGUUUGAUCUUCUUUAAGGCUUUGAUUAAAUAGUCUUUGCACUUCCUGAUGUGCAAGUUCAUCAUUUUCUAUCAGAAGAUGCCUUGAUGCCUCACAUGGAUGUUAGAAUGAAAAUGUUAUUUUCACCCUCAAGCCAUAAUGGAUUUUUCAUCAUCGACAUUAUUAUUAUUAUUAUUUUAUUUUUUGACAGAGAGACAGGGGGGAACGCCUCUUCCCGCCCAGCUGGGCCCUGUGGGCUCCCCUCCGCAACCCUAAGGCGGGAGGCCGAGAGCGGCGGGGAGUCGCGCUUCAUCUUCGCCCCUCGUUUGACCCAUGGACUCAUUAAUGGAAGAACCGAGGCAAGCAAGUUCACGGGAAGAAAUGCGCCCUCCCAACUGGAGGCCAUCAGCUGCCCACUCAGGAACAUCUCAGGGUGCCAACUGCGUCUCUGUGGGGUCACCAACCAUUUCUAGGACAUAUGUUUGUCCUUGUGGUAUUUGGGCUGGAGGACUCCAACAGAGAUCAGGUGUGGAGAGUAGUUCCACAGUCUCAAAAAGAAAACCGUGGAAGUCUUGCUGUCAUAGAAGUCAUGACAGCAGUCCUUUAAAGAAGCCCGUACCUGUCAAAUGUGUUUGUGGCAUUAACAAAAAAGGAUCACAACAGCCUUCUAUUGAGGUGUGGCAGUGGGUUAUGUUGCCCUAUUUUCUUCUCUAAUUGUUUUACAUAUGUAUAUUGCUUUAUUUCCCCACCUAAGAGUGUUAGAUCCUCAAGAAGAAAAACUGUAUCUCCCAUUUUCCCAGUAUGUCAUUUUCACUCAAAACAAUGAUGCACACAGUUGGAAUUUAAUCCAUAUUUGCCAGUGAGAUCUUAGAGUAUCAAGGAAAACGAUUCCUUCAGUUCUGUGACUUUCUCUGAGGUUUGCAUGGAUACACUUCCGUUGUUGACAUUCGAUGCAUGUGAAAUAGGCAUCGGAGCUUUUUACCUGCCUCACCAGGGACUGGGAGGCUGCAUGAGCUAAUGUCUAGGAAGAACUCAGCACAGUUAACACACGCACACGCACACACACAUACACACACACACGCAUGAUGGGAGGCUUAUUCCCACCUCUCAGGCUUGCUAAAGUGGAAGUUUCACAAACUCCCGGCACUUUCUCCUGGAAUUUCUGUGAGAAUGUGCUCCGGGCCCUUCCUUCAGUUUUUGGUUCCCAAUUCUAUUGUCCAAAGUUGGAAAGUAGGGGUCAGAAAUAAUGAAGAGAAGGUUAACCAGAGUUCAUUGUAUCUCAGAUAAUUAAGAGACCCAAGUACAAGGAAUUAUUCAUCUCUCUGGUCUCCAUCAAAUGCCGGGCUGUAUGUUUUUCUGUAAGCCUUCCACUAUAAUUGGCUAAGCAGGGAUAGCUCUGUUCUUAACCUGCAACAACUGCCCCCAAAACAGAGGCUGAUUCAACUGUGGUAAUGGGAGAGAGCUAAUGGCCAGGCAAGUCUAGUCCUCUGACAGCCAUGGACUCUCUGGACAUAUGUCUUGAGGCCUGAACCUUAUCUCUGAUGUUCAAACACAGGCUUACAUUUGGGUGAGGCACUGAAACCUCGCAGCUUGAUUUUCCAAACCGUGAGUGUGUACGAUCAAUGAUGGGGUCACGGGGAGACACAUACCUGAUUGAUCCAUCAGGCUACUCGUUUUUCCAGAUGUUUUCUGACUUAGAUUUCAGACCUGACUUGGCAUUUGAAGAAGGUUGAGAGCAUAGGUUUGCCAACUCACAUGCUUUCAAAGCACAUAUCAUUCAGCAUAAUGACAGCCCCUGAGAUAGUUCAAUUCCACCUCCCAGUGUGUGUACGUGUGCGCACGCGCACAUGUGAUUGAUUGAUUGCUGGUUUUGAAGCUAUACAAUACUAUGGCCUUUUAUCUUGGCCUAUGUUUCAUAGCACAUUCCAGCUGUUCAGAGCCACAAGUUGAAAAGAUGUGCUGAUUGAAAUGCUGACUGUACACUAGACAUGCAGUCAGCCCCGUACAAUCAACAAAAAAAGGGCCCCUCCCUGCUUUUCCCACUGUUCUUAUUUUUCCCAAAACUAUUUCUUUCCUUCCACAGAAAAGGGGAAUGUGCAGAGAAGCAAUUAGUUAUAAUUAUACAUGUGCUGGAGUAUAGGAAAACCAGUCAAAAAGAAUUUUCAAGUCCCAAAAUUGUCUAAUAAAAACUACCCAACAACAUUAUAAUUUUUGGAGGAAGUUAAAUUUUUAUGGAGUUUGGUGAUAAGAAAAAUUUGCUAAAAGAGAGUGCUCUUAAUCAUUGCACUGUCACUUUGCAAAGUAAUUGUGGAAUUAGGAAUAAUUACACUCUAAAGAAGGAAAAUGAAACAAUCUGCCUUAUGAUCUUUUAAAAUAGAAUUAUGAUUUGGGCUUUCUCCAUAAAUCGAAAAGAAGAAAGGCAUGAACUUGUGGGUGAGGUAAUAACCUGGGGUCUUGGAAACCUAGGUUUAAAGCUUUAAGUACUCAAUGCUGGGACUUUACCUACUCAGCAAUGGGUAGCUAUACUUGAGAUAAUAGGUGGGAUUUUAUGUGCAGCAAUGUAGAGGACGCAGGGGCCCGGGAUGGGCUGCCAGGUCUUCCAGCAAGUGCUAAGGCAUCCACCAAGGAUCAUGAAUGUGAACAGGAUAAUGAAUCACUGUCUACUUCCUCUUUUGGAAAAACUGUCCUAUCUCUGCCAACUGAAUCACACUAUAACCAGUCCCAGGCAAUUCAGUAUGACAAGUUCCACUUCGAACAGCGUUGGGAGUCAUUCUGAGGGUCCCCAUGUAUAGACAUAAAAAGUUCCAUUUGUUCUUACACUGUGAAAAUGACAGAACAAAUAUUAUGGGGAUUAUGCCUGGGGAAAAAGAAAUCUAUCUCUAGAUAUUCCUGCCACUAUGGAGAGAAAAUCAGCAAAAUUUAGAAUCUUGGACCUGUUCCACUCACACUAGGAUGUUGUUUCUAGAAAUCUCCCGAAAGUAUGGUACUGACUCUUGGUGGUAAAAGUGGAGAGGCUUAGAACUGAAAUCUGCUCAGUAGAAGACUGAGGGUUAAAAGUGGACGGUCAACCCAUUGAAUGAAGGCCUAGCAGGAAACAGAGAGACAAAAAUAUAGGCAUUAACGGAAUAAUAGCUGAAUAGUAAUAAUAAUACAUUAUGUCAACAGCGGUGACAAAGGAAACACUCAAUGUAUUUAUAGAGCUAAAUAAACGACAGAUCUAGGUCCCUCGUUUUGACUCUGCACAACCUUCUCAGUUGGAUUUUGCUUCUGCCUAAGGAUUAUUUUGGAAAGAGCUAUUAUUAUCCAUGAUUUAUCACGCUGCACUGGGGGGAACUCAUACUUUCCACGGAGACAAUUAUUGAAUUCUCACUGGAGGCUCUUAAAGGAGCCAGGACCUGUUCUGAGGGUUCAGGUAGGAAAGGUGUGCCAGCAGGGGGCUGCAGCCUGGCACCGUGGGACACGUAUGCUGUUGACCACUUCUGUGCCCAGAUGCCUCAGAUGCUUUCUCAUUAGGUGCAGCCUUCAAUCUCCUGGUUACUAUAACAGGACUGGGGAGAGGAAUUCACAUCUAUGGUUAGUCCAUGCAAGAAGUCCCUCUGCCAGGUGCCCAUCACUCCCAGGGAGUCACUGGUUGCAGCCCUUUUCCGAGGCGUCAUUGAAAUAGAAACCAAGUCAAAGCCAUGGCCUAGAAAGACAGUCUGGGCAGAGUUCUGCAAGCAGAUUCUUUAUUUGAGUAAGUAUUCCUUGAAGAAGCCCAAUUGUGCAGCUGUGUUUGGGUGGAGGUCAUCAGAGGUUUAGAAAAAGAGAGAAGUCAUGGUUAAUAUUAGAAAAGAGCUCUGAGAAUCUGUAGGAAGGAAAAUGCAUUACUAGUUCUAAGCAACAACUGCGAAAAUAAACAAUGAUAAACACCUUAUUAAAUCGAAAGAGUUACGUUAAUAGAUAAUAACAAGUAGAAGAGCUAAUAGCUAGCCGUUAAUACAGGCCAAUUUAUUAUUUAAAACAUUUAUUAAGAUUUAACAAUAGUCAAAUAAUUUUUUGUGAAACAGUUAUUAAACUGAAGCUCUGCAUACAUUAAUCAACUGAUAUUUAUCAUUCAGAAUGUAUCUCAUUAUAUCCAGAAGGGUGUGUGCAUAUGCUUCCAAAACAAACUGGGAGAUUUAAAAUGAACUGUAGUUCAUUUUUGCAAAGUGUACAUGUGUAAAGAUUAUUAUGUUUGCCAGCUGGGUAGCCAGACAGCGAAGUGGACUUGUCUAAUUAGGAACAAUUGCUGAUAAAUCAAUUCUUUCCUUUUAUAGGACAAUUACAGUUUGUGUGUAUAUGUGAUUGUGUUUUAAAUUCUAAUUUGAUUUUGUGCAUUGUUCUGCAACCAAGUUAAUUCUUUGAAGCCCUUUUAAAUGGUACAAAUUUUCCGUAAAAUAUAAAUAGGUUUAUUGCUGUUUUAUCAGUCACGCAAAUAAUCCAAGAUCCAUCUAUUCACAUAAUUCAGGCAUUAACUGUGUAUAAUUACUCACACGAAGCCUUCAGUCUGGCUUACUAUACAGAACCCCAAAUACGACUUUAAAUUGCUUGCCUACUAUUUUCCUCUGUUAUUUCUCUCCUUCUCUUUUCAUCUUUGCCUAUUAAAAUUCUUCCUAGUCUUUAAGCACAGCUCAAAGAUCACUUCCUUCGUUUCUCUCAUUUAGAAGGGAUCUUUCUAGCACUUGCCUCUCCACUUUUAGCUCUCAUUGCAUCUAGCAUAGUGCUCUGCAUUGGGACAUUAAAACGAUAAUUUUUAUUAUUUUGUAUUUAUUUAGUUUUUUAUUUUUUGAGACGGAGUCUUGCUCUGUCACCCAGGCUAGA